AACAAACGCUGGCGGCGUGCCUAAUACAUGCAAGUCGAACGGGGAAAGCUUUCGGGUGAGUACUAGUGGCGCACGGGUGAGUAACGCGUGGAUAAUCUGCCUUAGAGUGGGGGAUAACUAGUCGAAAGAUUAGCUAAUACCGCAUAAGACCACAAGAACUGCGGUUCAAGGGGUCAAAGGUUUUUCGCUCUAAGAUGAGUCCGCGUAAGAUUAGCUAGUUGGUGAGGUACUGGCUCACCAAGGCGACGAUCUUUAACUGGUCUGAGAGGAUGAUCAGUCACACGGGAACUGAGACACGGUCCAGACUCCUACGGGAGGCAGCAGUAGGGAAUAUUGCACAAUGGAGGAAACUCUGAUGCAGCGACGCCGCGUGAGUGAUGAAGGCCUUCGGGUCGUAAAGCUCUGUCGCAAGGGAAUAACACAAUGAAUGUACCUUGCAAGAAAGGAUCGGCUAACUUCGUGCCAGCCGCCGCUGUAAAAC
rnacentral:rRNA from 1 species